rnacentral:rRNA from 1 species
UACGGGGGGGGCAAGCGUUGUUCGGAAUUACUGGGCGUAAAGGGUUUGUAGGUGGCCGGCUAAGUCAGACGUGAAAUCCCUCAGCUUAACUGGGGAACUGCGUGUGAUACUGGAUGGCUUGGAUUUGGGAGAGGGAUGCGGAAUUCCAGGUGUAGCGGUGAAAUGCGUAGAUAUCUGGAGGAACACCGGUGGCGAAGGCGGCAUCCUGGACCAAUAUUGACGCUGAGGAGCGAAAGCCAGGGGAGCAAACGGG